AGUGACCAGUGGUUCUGCUGUUCGGUCGAUUUGCAUAUUAGCCUUUUAUUAUAUAUGAUGAUGAUAAGAGUUGUUCUCUUAAGUUCCUUAAAAAUUCUAUAGUUAACUGCAACUCAUUGGCCUUUCCAGAGAUAACACAAUCUGAAAUAAUUCAAAUCCCACCACCACAGUCCUUUUUAAAAUUUCUUUGACAAAUGCAAAGGACAUACCCAUCUUCCAGUUAAAUUUCCUUUUGAGUCCGACAAGAAAUCAAGAAACAAAGAAAAAGGUAUAGUGAUCCAGCUAGACCGUGAUUUAUAGUGUUUGGAAAACAGUUUACUUAAUGAGGAAGUAGCAUAAAAGUUUGCUUAUCUUGGUCACAGGUAUUAUAAUUCAUAUCCCUAAAGGGUAGAGAGAAAAAUCAUUCUUUUCCAGGAAAGACAAUCCUAUAUAAUAAGAGGCUAAUAUGCAAAUUGUCCCGACUGAGAGACAGACCUGGAAUUCAACUGGAUGGGGCUGGCCAACUGCCCACGGCCCCUCUCCCAGCCAGCACUGCCCCCGAUUGCCCCCCCCCCAACCCUGAUUGCGGCUCCUCCCCCUGGUCAGUCUGGCCCAAUUGGCCCUGAUCAGGGCGGGCCGGCCAGACCCCACCUGUGCACAAAUUCAUGCACUGGGCCUCUAGUAAUACCAUAAAGCUCCUUCCCUCUUGCUUAGCCUGAUACUAUAUAUUCACCUGAUACUAUAUGUUUACAAUGAAAAUAAUUCUGCGGGUGCAGGUCCUCACACAGAUGCCCGCAACCCCUGCUUUCAAAAUCUUAUACUCAGAGACAACACCUAACAGGCUACCUGGCUCAAUCCUUACUGGAUAGCAGACAACCUACCUUCCUAGGGCAGUUUCCUCAUCAUUUCAUGCCCCUCAUCAGCCCACCACUUCCAUUUCCCUUCCUCACCCACAUUUACACAAGAGUUCUGAGGCAUGAGACACUUGUGAGAGUGAAUCACAUCCACUACCCCCUGGUAGAGCUGAACAAGCACUAGUCACUCAAAAAUACCCUUCCCUGGCCUGAUUCCUGGAUUUAAUUUCCUAAUGAAGUGAUCAUUCCUUCAAGAUGGAGGAUCAGAAGCAUUUCAAUGGCUGUGUGUAGUUCUCAUUUACUUCAUCAAAGGUUCUUUGGACAUGGUCAAGCCUACAGGUACAUGUAGUAGAGGAGAUACUUUGGGGGAAAUGCCUCCUUUAGCCACUCUAGCAGAUGUCAAAAUGGGGGAGAGAAGGAGUGGGCAAUUUCUCUCUCCACAUAUACAAAUAUUCACCCUUUCUGGCCACCCAUGCAGGGACCUUAUAAGCAGAAGUCCUUGUCAGGAAACUUUAGUCACUCUCAGGUAACUCUACCUUCAAGAUCAUCCUUCUACCUCAUUCAUGUGAGGACAGCACAGUACUCUCAGUACAGUGCUUCUCAAACUACAAAGUGCUUAUGAAUCCCCUGGGGACUUGGUGGAAAUGCAGAUUCAAAUUUAAUAAGUGUGGGGUAGACUCUAUGCCUACAUUUCUAACAUGCCUUCAAUGGACACUGAUGCUGCCGAUUGCAAACCACGCUGGAGUAGCAAGGUCCGCGUCUCUUUCCUCUCCCAGAACUGGAGCACAUUAUACCUUAAGGUCUCUUUGUGGCUGGUUAUCCACCAAAA